AGGCGAGUAGCUCAACUUGGCAGAGCGGCGGUCUCCAAAACCGCAGGUUGCGGGUUCAAGUCCUGCCUCGCCUG
rnacentral:tRNA from 1 species